AUUUUACAAAUUUAAGUUUUUUUUUUUAGUUUAUUGAUUUAGAGGUAUGUAAUGCUAUGCUUUUGAACACUGACUAAUAAAAUAAAAGUGGGUAAAUGUACAGGUAUUUGUAAGCUAUCUUAUAUGAUUGUUCUGUUAUGGCACCUUACAUGUGUGUUGUGAAGUAUGUUCCUAACAUUUUCUGUUUGUUAUGGGGGUUUUUUGUUUGUUCUGUAGAAGUAUUUUUAUAAAGUCUUUGUUAUUUAUAGAUCUUUUUUGUUUAAUAAUACCUAUACAUUUGAAGAACUAUUUAAAUUAGCCCAAAGAAUCUUGAGUUAGUAAGUAUGUAAUACAUUAAGUACAAUGUACUUCCAAUAUCAACUGUAUCAUGACUGAUAGCUCCCUAUCAGUUUUUUUCGUUUAUUUAACAUGUACUGGUACAUGUUUUUAGCUGUUACACAGCAGAUUCCUGGUUACUAUAUGAGCAUAUGUUGUAUAAAAGAGUAUGAAAAAUCUUCAUUAUUUGUACAGGUAUUUCAUACUAUUAUAUUUUUGAUCUAACAAAGCUGUUUCCAAAUCUGCCUUGUGUUUUUAAUUAGAUGAUAAGUUAAGAGAGGAUGAAACACUUUAAAUAGUGCCAUAAAAAAAAUUUCAACCUCCGUUUAAUGCUUAUUUUUCUUGAAUUGUAAGAAAGUAGGAGUGUUGUGAAAAAAGCCUGUUUACUUUUGUAUUAAUUAAUCCAAAAAAGAAUAAUGUUAUAGAUUGUAUUGACAUUGUAAUACAUUUUGAAUAUUAUAUUUCAACAAUCAAAUUAACAUAUACAGGUAUUUAUCACAUUUCAUUGCGCAAUAUAAAUUUUAGUUUGAUGUUGGGAAAAACCAUAAUUUAUUUAAUAAUUUUUAAAUUCAAGAAUUGAUAGGAAACUCGACCUUUACGUUUUGUAAGCAAAAAUGGUAAUGAAUUCCAUCUACCGGACUACUAGCAUUAUUGGUAGUGUGUAAGCAGAAUGGGUUUUAUAUUUCUUACAAAAUGAUUAAACAAUAAAUGUUUUUACACUAC
rnacentral:misc_RNA from 1 species